AGGCAAGAGCGGGUCUUAUCUGCCUUACGUCGGCCGUGCGUCAUCAGUCUGCGACAAGGGCACGGUUGCUCUGUUCAAGAAGUGGUUCCGCUGUUGCCGCGGCAAUGAGCUGCACCCGGGCGGCGGCGGCUUGCUGUCUGUGGCAGCUGCGCACGGGCGCCCCGAGAUCCCUCUCAGCUUAUGGAAGAAGAAGCAGUGUCAGAUUUUGCAGUUCGGGAGUGACCUUAGACGGUAUCAGUCGGGCAGCUGUGGAUCGAAUAAUCCGGGUGGAUCAUGCAGGUGAAUAUGGAGCGAACCGCAUCUACGCAGGGCAGAUGGCCAUCCUGGGUCGGACGAGCGUCGGGCCGGUCAUUCAGAAAAUGUGGGAUCAAGAAAAGGACCACUUGAAAAAGUUCAAUGAGUUGAUGGUUGCAUUCAGGGUGCGGCCAACCAUUCUGAUGCCCUUUUGGAAUGUGCUGGGCUUUGCACUGGGUGCGGGAACUGCCCUGCUUGGGAAGGAGGGCGCUAUGGCCUGCACAGUUGCUGUGGAAGAGUCCAUAGCACACCACUACAACAACCAGAUCAGGAUGCUGAUGGAGAAGGAGCCUGAAAAGUAUGAAGAGCUUCUUCAGGUGAUAAGGAAAUUUCGGGAUGAAGAGCUUGAGCACCAUGACAUAGGCCUCGAACACGACGCAGAACUGGCUCCAGCGUACGCUGUUCUGAAGAGCGUUAUCCAGGCUGGAUGCAGCGUGGCAGUAUAUUUAUCAGAAAGACUGUAAACCUUCAAGCCAGCAGAGCAUGUGGAAGCCUUGAUCUUCUGAGGUGCUCGUGCUGUUUCUUGCCUUCCUGUAUCAGAGCUCAUUUUAGGAAAUGUGAUUUUAAAAUGGGACACCAUCCAAAGAUCAUGCCAGGAUGACAAAGGAUAUUAUUCAUGCAAGCAGUGCAAUUCCAAAGAUGUGAUCUGAGCUAUAGUUCUUUGCAUGUUUUUGAUUCCCUUUCUACUCAGAAGUGGUCCACAGGGCUUCCCUGGUGGCGCAGUGGUUAAGAAUCCACCUGCCGGGCUUCCCUGGUGGCGCAGUGGUUGGGAGUCCGCCUGCCGAUGCAGGGGACGCGGGUUCGUGCCCCGGUCCGGGAGGAUCCCGCAUGCCGUGGAGCGGCUGGACCUGUGGGCCAUGGCCGCUGGGCCUGCGCGUCCGGAGCCUGUGCUCCACGACGGGAGAGGCCACAGCGGUGAGAGGCCCGCGUACCGCAAAAAAAAAAAAAAAAAAAAAAAAAAAAUCCACCUGCCAAUGCAGGGGACACGGGUUCGAGCCCUGGUCCAGGAAGAUCCCACAUGCCGCAGAGCAACGAAGCCCGUGCACCACAGCUACUGAGCCUGCGCUCUAGAGCCCAGGAGCCACAACUACUGAGCCCAUGUGCCACAACUACU